GUGGGGAAUAUUGGACAAUGGGCGCAAGCCUGAUCCAGCCAUGCCGCGUGAGUGAUGAAGGCCCUAGGGUUGUAAAGCUCUUUCAGUGGGGACGAUAAUGACGGUACCCACAGAAGAAGCCCCGGCUAACUUCGUGCCAGCAGCCGCGGUAAUACGAAGGGGGCUAGCGUUGUUCGGAUUUACUGGGCGUAAAGCGCACGUAGGCGGAUCGUUAAGUCGAGGGUGAAAUCCUGGAGCUCAACUCCAGAACUGCCUUCGAUACUGGCGAUCUUGAGUCCGGAAGAGGUGAGUGGAACUCCUAGUGUAGAGGUGGAAUUCGUAGAUAUUAGGAAGAACACCAGUGGCGAAGGCGGCUCACUGGUCCGGUACUGACGCUGAGGUGCGAAAGCGUGGGGAGCAAACAGGAUUAGAAACCCGUGUAGUCC
rnacentral:rRNA from 1 species